rnacentral:rRNA from 1 species
AUUGAACGCUGGCGGCAUGCUUUACACAUGCAAGUCGAACGGUAACAGGCCGCAAGGUGCUGACGAGUGGCGAACGGGUGAGUAAUGCAUCGGAACGUGCCCAGUCGUGGGGGAUAACUACUCGAAAGAGUAGCUAAUACCGCAUACGAUCUAUGGAUGAAAGCGGGGGACCGUAAGGCCUCGCGCGGUUGGAGCGGCCGAUGUCAGAUUAGGUAGUUGGCGGGGUAAAGGCUCACCAAGCCAACGAUCUGUAGCUGGUCUGAGAGGACGACCAGCCACACUGGGACUGAGACACGGCCCAGACUCCUACGGGAGGCAGCAGUGGGGAAUUUUGGACAAUGGGCGCAAGCCUGAUCCAGCAAUGCCGCGUGCAGGAAGAAGGCCUUCGGGUUGUAAACUGCUUUUGUACGGAACGAAACGGCUCUGGUUAAUACCCGGGGCUAAUGACGGUACCGUAAGAAUAAGCACCGGCUAACUACGUG